GAUGAAGAACGUAGCGAAAUGCGAUAAGUAAUGUGAAUUGCAGAAUUCAGUGAAUCAUCGAAUCUUUGAACGCACCUUGCGCCCUUUGGCUAUUCUGAAGGGCAUGCCUGUUUGAGUAUCGUGAACACCUCAACUCUCAUGGUCUGCCAUGAUGAGCUUGGACUUUGGGGGUCUUGCUGGCCUACUGUCAGCUCCUCUCAAAUGAAUCAGCUUACCAGUGUUUGGUGGCACCACAGGUGUGAUAACUAUCUACGCUUGUGGUUUUGCCAGGUAACCUCCAGUGAUGGAGGUUCGCUGGAGCUCACAAAUGUCUCUCCUCAGCGAGGACAGCUUUUUGAACGUUUGAUCUCAAAUCAGGUAGGACUACCCGCUGAACUUAAGCAUAUCAAUAAGCGGAGGA
rnacentral:misc_RNA from 1 species